CGAGCUCUCUUGUUUAGUUUCUGCUGCUGGAGGGGUCGUAAGAUCAUCGAUGUCUAUGGCCUUCGCGGCUACUCCAGGUUCUUCUCCUUCGCUGAUUACUGCUGGUUCUUCGGUUUUGCUAGCGGCUUUUGGAUCCUCUUGUAGCAGCGGACUCUCUUCCUCGCUGGUGGGAGUCGUUUCCUCGACUUGCUCUUUGUCUUCCUCCUGAGCGUCUGCUGGCUCGUCUUUGACAGUGAUGAGAGCUGCGUCGUCUGGAGCAGUGAUGCCUUUGUCUUCGGCUGGUGUGAAAUCUUGUGGUACUCUUUCAGCUUCUUUCUCUUUC
rnacentral:lncRNA from 1 species